UAUGAGGUUGCCGCUGCUCCAUGUUAAGUACCAGCCAGAACUGCCAUUAUAUAUUUAUUAAGCUAGGAGGCUGCACCGGUCAUGAAUUUAAAUAGGCUUGCUACCACUUUAUUUUGGUCAACAUUUUUGGCCCUGAACAUGUUAUGUUUUGAUUUAUGAGGUAAAAGCAUACUACUGCUUGCAUAAACAGCAACCUGUUGAAAGUAUUGUUGGGUCACUUUUAGGCUUCUAGCUAUUUUGAUUUUAUCAUAUACAACACUUUCAGAUCAGUAAAUACAAUGACCUCCCUUUUACAUUAAAUAAUCAUUAUUGUUCUCAUACCAUUUGAUAUUUGCAGAGUAUCUCAGGCACACAAGCUAAAGGUUCACCAAGUUCAGGGAAAGAAAAGUUUCCCUAGACACGUGGCGGCGGCGGUCAAGACAAGAGCGGCGCUGUGAGCGACGGCCCUCGAUCGUCUUCCUUGUGGAAUCAGGUACGCGUCGUCCAUCGUGGCCCAUCGUGGGUGUUGCCGGGCGACCGGAGGCGGCUACAGCAGGCCAGUGCCCGUGAUCAAGACUGACACCGGGAAGGCUGCCGGUCUACAGUUGUGCACUCAAUUCAAAUGAUUAUUCUCCGUUCUUUGCCUCAGAACUACAUAUGAGAGGUACAAAGGGUUGGCCAAGAUACUCAAUUAAGUUAUCCGAUUUAAGUAGUAAGGGUACCGGCGCCCAAAUAAAUUCAGGAGCACUGCAAAAUUCAAGUUGAUGGCUGAUGUGCCUUGUAGUUUUACAGUAUGAUAGUUGUUGAAAGUAUGUUCUAGAAUGCAGGUGAUGGGCUGCUGAUUUAUGUUGUCCACUUCUCUUGAUUUUUACUGACUUGUGUUGAUUUCUAUUGUAUGCAAUAGCAGCCUUCGUGCCAUUGAUAGAUUCUGCUGGUUUCUACCUCCAUGCUGCUUAAACCAAUUACCUCCUCAAUUAUACGCCAUGGCAGGGCAGAUGAUUGUGUGCAAGGAAGGAAAGAUGCAAACGAUUUGAGUUCCCAGUUUGUACAGCCCCUGAGGAUUGGAAGGUCGUGCUGUUGUCUACUUGUCUCUUUCAUUCCGUUACAACCUGCUGUUCUUGCUCAGUUGUGUCCAUCAAGGAUAUGUUCUUUGAAUUUAGAUGAUGCACGGAUAAAUAACUCUUAUGUGACAAUGCAAAUGAAGGGUGCAGUGGCUCAGCCCUUUAGAUUGUUGGCGAUAAUAUUGGAGUAUAAAUAAAUACAAGUUGUUAACAACAACAGAAAUUUUUGGCUCAAUAUAUCCUUAUGAACGAGGGUUUGUAUAAUUUUCGGCAUUCCUUUGCCUGUAGCAAUAGCUAUUGUAUUUAGUGGCAAUCGUUAUAAAAUGGGAGCAUAAAUAAAUAGCAAUGGAAUUUUAUUAGCUCUCUAUGUCCUUACAAACGAGGGAUUGCAUGAAUUUGUGAUUUCUUUUUCCUGUAGCGAAUAGCUGUUGUAUUUAGACACAAUCGAUAUAAAAAGAACAUUCAAUUUUAUUCAAUUGCACUCAACCCCUUCUGCAAUCUUUAGAAGCAAAAAUGCAGCCUGUAGCAAAACGGGGGAAAUUGGAUAAAGAGGCAGGGCCGCAGGAGCAGAACGGUCCAGCCGAUGAAGCCAAUGUGGACGAAGAUUAACUUCUCUGAUCUUGUGGUAGGCUGAACCUGAAUCAAAUUAAUGGGUGGACUUUCUUGUUAUCCUUUGUCCUGAAACUAUAACAUAAUCACUUAAGCUGACAUUUUGGUAGUUGUCUGAACCAUGAAUCCAUGAUGCUAAGCUGAAUAAUUCCUGGAGCAUCUACCGCGCGUGGUGCUUCUACGUUGCACCAUUGUCUGGUGUUUGCGCUUCUACAAUUUUUUUUACCAUACACAUCUGCUCCAGUAAUGAAUAUGAGCCUCUUGUACUAAGAUUUUUUUCCACCAUACUCAUAUAUUUCUACCUGGAUUGUGUGCAAAAAAUCGAUUUCUAUCAAGAAAAUCAUUGACGUUUGGAGAGCUAAAAAUAGUUCAGGCCCUCGAGGUGCAUUCCCUGGGAUUGUUGUUGUGCAGGUGUAGCAGCCAGUGGUUCUUUGCAUCAUUCUUCAAAAAGAAUGUGUGUGGCACGAACCGUGAAAAUAAUAAUUGUAGAAUGAAGACACCACUACUUAAACGAUGAAACCAUGUUUAAUACUGAUGUGACAUGAACCUAAUACCACUGCCUUCAUGUCUUGAUAUUUCUUGCUGGUAGAAGAUACAAGACUCAGCCAAAGGUUAAUAGACAAGAGCUGUAUCAAUGAUGCAUAUCUGCUAAUAUAACAUGCUUUAUAAAGCCAAUGUAAGCUAUCAUCAAGUGAUCUUAUAACUUUCUUUCCUUUGAGCUAUAAUGCUACCAUAUAAAAAAAAUAUGUAACGCUAUGUGUACCUAAGUAUCUAUUAAAUUGGUUCCAAAUUACUCUCACUU